AUUGAACGCUGGCGGCAGGCCUAACACAUGCAAGUCGAACGAGUGGCGGACGGGCGAGUAAUGUCUGGGAAACUGCCUGAUGGAGGGGGAUAACUACUGGAAACGGUAGCUAAUAACGUAUAACUUCGGAUGUGCCCAGAUGGGAUUAGCCAGUUGGUGGGGUAAAGGCUUCACUAGGCGACGAUCCCUAGCUGGUCUGAGAGGAUGACCAGCCACACGGGAAAUGAGACACGGUCCUGAUGCCUACGGGAGGCAGCAGUGGGGAAUAUUGCACAAUGGGCGCAAGCCUGAUGCAGCCAUGCCGCGUGUAUGAAGAAGGCCUUAGGAUUUUAAAGUACUUUCAGCGGGGAGGCGUUACCCACAGAAGAAGCACCGGCUAACUCCGGGCCAGCAGCCGCGGUAAUAC
rnacentral:rRNA from 1 species